CCCAGACUCCUACGGGAGGCAGCAGUGGGGGAUAUUGCACAAUGGGGGGAACCCUGAUGCAGCGACGCCGCGUGGGUGAAGGAGUGCUUCGGCAUGUAAAGCCCUAUCGGCAGGGAAGAAAAUGACGGUACCUGAAGAAGAAGCCCCGGCUAACUACGUGCCAGCAGCCGCGGUAAUACGUAGGGGGCAAGCGUUAUCCGGAUUUACUGGGUGUAAAGGGGGCGCAGACGGCGAUGCAAGCCAGGAGUGAAAGCCCGGGGCCCAACCCCGGGACUGCUCUUGGAACUGCGUGGCUGGAGUGCAGGAGGGGCAGGCGGAAUUCCUGGUGUAGCGGUGAAAUGCGUAGACAUCAGGAGGAACACCGGUGGCGAAGGCGGCCUGCUGGACUGCAACUGACGUUGAGGCCCGAAAGCGUGGGGAGCAAACAGGAUUAGAUACCCCAGUAC
rnacentral:rRNA from 1 species